rnacentral:rRNA from 1 species
UGGGAAUAUUGGACAAUGGGCGGAAGCCUGAUCCAGCAACGCCGCGUGAGGGAUGACGGCCUUCGGGUUGUAAACCUCUUUCAGUACCGACGAAGCGGAAGUGACGGUAGGUACAGAAGAAGCACCGGCCAACUACGUGCCAGCAGCCGCGGUAAUACGUAGGGUGCGAGCGUUGUCCGGAAUUAUUGGGCGUAAAGGGCUCGUAGGCGGUUUGUCGCGUCGGGAGUGAAAACACUGGGCUUAACUCAGUGCUUGCUUCCGAUACGGGCAGACUAGAGGCAUGCAGGGGAGAACGGAAUUCCUGGUGUAGCGGUGAAAUGCGCAGAUAUCAGGAGGAACACCGGUGGCGAAGGCGGUUCUCUGGGCAUGUCCUGACGCUGAGGAGCGAAAGUGUGGGGAGCGAACAGGAUUAGAUACCCUGGUAGUCCACACCGUAAAACGUUGGGCGCUAGGUGUGGGGGCCUAUUCCAUGGGUUCCGUGCCGCAGCUAACGCAUUAAGCG